rnacentral:rRNA from 1 species
GACGUUGGGAAAGCGAGCGGCGGAUGGGUGAGUAACACGUGGGGAACCUGCCCCUAAGUCUGGGAUACCAUUUGGAAACAGGUGCUAAUACCGGAUAAUAAAGCAGAUCGCAUGAUCAGCUUUUGAAAGGCGGCGUAAGCUGUCGCUAAGGGAUGGCCCCGCGGUGCAUUAGCUAGUUGGUAAGGUAACGGCUUACCAAGGCGACGAUGCAUAGCCGAGUUGAGAGACUGAUCGGCCACAUUGGGACUGAGACACGGCCCAAACUCCUACGGGAGGCAGCAGUAGGGAAUCUUCCACAAUGGACGCAAGUCUGAUGGAGCAACGCCGCGUGAGUGAAGAAGGUUUUCGGAUCGUAAAGCUCUGUUGUUGGUGAAGAAGGAUAGAGGUAGUAACUGGCCUUUAUUUGACGGUAAUCAACCAGAAAGUCACGGCUAACUACGUGCCAGCAGCCGCGGUAAUACGUAGGUGGCAAGCGUUGUCCGGAUUUAUUGGGCGUAAAGCGAGCGCAGGCGGAAAAAUAAGUCUAAUGUGAAAGCCCUCGGCUUAACCGAGGAACUGCAUCGGAAACUGUUUUUCUUGAGUGCAGAAGAGGAGAGUGGAACUCCAUGUGUAGCGGUGGAAUGCGUAGAUAUAUGGAAGAACACCAGUGGCGAAGGCGGCUCUCUGGUCUGCAACUGACGCUGAGGCUCGAAAGCAUGGGUAGCGAACAGGAUUAGAUACCCUGGUAGUCCAUGCCGUAAACGAUGAGUGCUAAGUGUUGGGGAGGUUUCCGCCUCUCAGUGCUGCAGCUAACGCAUUAA